rnacentral:rRNA from 1 species
CAAUAGCGUAUAUUUAAGUUGUUGCAGUUAAAAAGCUCGUAGUCGGAUUUUGGCUGAGAACGAACGGUCCGCCGUUAGGUGUGCACUGUUUGGUCUCAGCUUCCUGGUGAGGAGGUGUGCUUCACGGCCACUUAGUCACCGUGGUUACUUUGAAAAAAUUAGAGUGUUCAAAGCGGGCUUACGCUUGAAUAUAUUAGCAUGGAAUAACACCAUAGGACUCCUGUCCUAUUUCGUUGGUCUCGGGACGGGAGUAAUGAUUAAGAGGAACAGUUGGGGGCAUUCGUAUUUCAUUGUCAGAGGUUAAAUUCUUGGAUUUAUGAAAGACGAACUUCUGCGAAAGCAUUUGCCAAGGAUGUUUUCAUUGA